ACAGACAGGUUCAGAUAGGGAUGGGUAGGGCCAGAGAUAUUUAUUGAUUGAUUGAUUUCUACAUUUUAUACCACUUUUCUGCCUUGACAAAGGCACCUGAAGCGGUUUACAAUAUCAAAAGUGACAAAUAACAGAUUAAUAAAAUGUUGUCUCAGGCUGUUGGUCUUUUCGGGAGCUGAGGACAAUCGCUCCCUGGCCUGGGUGCUUCCUUUCUUGAUAGAAUCUCUAGUCAGUGGUGCUCUUACCCCCCAGGACCUCCAAGGGUCGGGGGGGGUCCUUCAUCCACCCCACAUCUGCCCCACCACUGCCCUGCCACGUUGUACCUCUGUGGGGUUGUUGUUGAUUUUUGCUUAAUUUAAGCCAACAUGUGCAUGGCUGAGAGGUAGGCUUGGGGGUGAUCCAAGCAGGCCUCGCCUUCCCCCCGUGGCACUGCUGGAGGCCAGAGCAACCACUGGGCCUGUGCUUUUUGUCCAGUGGUUCUUGAUCACUGUGAGGCACUCCAGCAUGCCUGCAAAAAUGAAAUAGAUCAUAGCAAGCACAUGAGGUCACAGGCUUGCGACAAUCUAUUUCAGCUGCCCAGGCACGCCUCGCAGUUAUCAAGAGCCACUGGGCUGAAUGGACAGGCCCAGUGGUUGGUCCAGCCGCUGGCACUGGGGUGUGGGGAGGUGAGCCCUGCUUAGUUCAACCCCCAGCCUGCCCGCCCCAGAUACCACCUCUUGGCCACACACAUGCUGGCUUAAAUUAAGCAGGGGAAAAAAUAGAGGUACAGCACGGCAGGGCAGCAGUGGGGCAGCAUGGAGUGGCUGAAGGAGGCACCCCAAAAGCAGGUUUGGGGGGGCAUUAUGGGGGUUGGUCUCAUGGUGGGGGCAGUCCGGGUGCCCCAAUUACCUAAGAGUGCCCCUGUCUCUGGUUAAAGCAGGACUGAAGGUGGAAUUGGGAGGUUGGUGGGUAGGUUUCACACACCAGGCAUGACCUCUGUAGAGCAAACUUGACUAUCAAAUGUAAAUGCUGGGAGGGUUUGGUUUAUUACACAGGUUAUACAGUCAGGGAGGUUAUAUCCCUGUAAAAAUGUUGGAAGUCUAAAGAAGCUUGCUGUUUCUAAACAGCAACCUCAAUAACUUGAAAGUAAAGCCUUUUUUGAUGUACUGACACAAUCUUAUAUAUACCUGAUUCUGAAUACCAGUUUUAAGUAUAAGAGGUGGUGUUCAAGCUUGCUAGUGCUAAGGUUGUUAUUCUGUCUCAGUAACUAUUAUUCAUUUGACACUACAUUGUAGUGAAUAAGAAACCACUGAAGCUAUUGUACAAGAAUAAAGUUAUUUUCUUUGGUAUAGUUAGAUAGAUAGAUAGAUAUCUUUAUUUUAGUCAUUGCCCAGCAAUAAUAAACAGACAACUGCAAACAAUAAUCAGAUGAUACAUGAUAUAAACAUUUGGAAACUGCUGCACCAGUCUACAACCAAGUAUGGGCCUGAAAGAUUGAUGAAUCAACUAUACUUGUGAUGUAUCUGCCCGAGUCAGUGCCAAGAAGUGAAAUAAAAAACACCAACAAUUUUUUCUUCAAAUAAGACAUUUUCUUCUCUGCACUGCCCUUAUACAGCAUUACCUGUAUCCCAAAUAUUGAAACUGAACUGAAGUUGAACUUACUUUAGUUGGGCCAUUUCCAUGAAGAGUGACUGGCAGAGUGUCAUACACUGAAUUCCUAGCUCUGGCUCUUCCUUCAUCAAAUUUCAGAAUAACUUCAUCUGCAGUUCAACAGAAAUAACAAUACAUCAGCAAGAGUGUCAAAACAUUCUUUGCAUUUGAUGGAACAAUUAUGUCCUAUUCACUUCUAUGCUGAUCCUGUCACUUUACAAUCUUCAAGCUGCUCAUUCCAGAGUUCAUUUGGGACAUGUUAGAAUAAACAGUCAGUACCACAACCUUUU